GGAGGGACUCAAAAAGCACAGACUUGCCUUUUUUUUUCCUCGUCGGUCGAGCAGCCACCAAACCGACGGCAAGAGAAAAGAGAGAGAGAGAGAGAGAAAUCACGGGGGACGAGUGAGCAGCCCGCGCGCAUCCAGCCACGCGGGCAACGCCACGGCUGUCUGGUCGCCCAUGUCGAUGGACGGCAGGCGGUCCAUGGUGACCGGUCGAAUGGUACACAUGGACCGCCACUGAGCACACGUCGCCGAUCCGACUUGACGACGGUGCGCGCACACCGAGGCCAAAAACAUGGCCAUCUUGGCCGCAUCCUCUUGGUCGAUCCGAUGAAAGAACGCAUCAGCGGGCACAGGCCGCAGGUCCCGGCUAUCAAAAGGGCGAUCGAACCGCACGGGGGGUGAUCCGUACGGGUUGGGUUUGUAAUGCCGUCGAUGAGGGCGCAUGGCCGUACCACUCGUAUACAGGGUGUCCAAGACCAUGGCCCACAAGUCGACACCCUCUGCCGCGCGAUGGCCGGCAAAGAGCGACACGGCAGUGUCGAGCGUCUUGUAGUCGGUCCCCAAGAUGGCGGAUCGAAAGAAGCCGACCACGUCGCCGGGGCCAAGAUGGUCGACCAAGAGGCCACGCCACCGCAAGGCCGCGCGCAUUGUCGAAGCGCAACUGCGCUCGCAUGCGCUCCGCCGUCGCCAGUCUGCUGCGCGCCACCAUGCGAUGGCCCGCCGUGCUGCAUCCUCGGCGCCGCCAGGCAAUGCCUCGCAUGUCUGGCUCACGUUAUCACACAAGAGAUCGAUGGCGAGGUCAGUCCCGUCGACUGUAUCGCUCCCUCGUGGGGCGCCGCAUGUCGCUUGUUCGAGUGCCCUCAUGCAUGUGUCGGCAUGAACCGCCGGCUCUGCGACGGGCGUGUGGGCGAGCGCCCAGCGCACCACGGGACCGCAGCCAUAUGCUGCGCCCUCGAUCAGGAUCACAUCAAAAUGGAGGGCGAUCCCGCGCUUUCGGCAGAGAUCCAACACACGCACCGAGCCGAUGCGCGCUGCACGCUUUUGCCAGCGCUUGGUGCCCGGUGCUCUAUCGGCAUCGCAUAUGUCGGGGUGGACCGCAGCGUGCUGACCAAAUGCGUCAAAAAUCAUGGCCAUGGUAUCGACUGCAUCGUAUAGGGCAAUUGCCUUCCACACUGCCGAGCAUGCCCAUGUGUGGUGUUUGUCGACGGGUUCGUCCGAAAGAGGAGCCCACGGCAGCGAGAAAGUAUGGUUGUGUGCCGACGCGCUUUCCAGACCGACAACAUUGCGUAGCACCCACGCGAUCGUGUCGGCGCGGUCGGUGCUACAUGCAUAGUAGACGAUGGCAGUGACGGCCUCGUGUGCAAAGACGCGCACGCGCUUGGAAAGGCCGACCAGCGAGGCCAACACGGUCACGCGACCCUGUCGUGCCGCCACGGCGAGCAAAUCCACGAUCAACACCCCGCCAUCAUCAUAUUCUGCAUCAGCGUCUUCUUCGCCGCAUGCGGCUGUACCCUGACGCAACUGUCGGGCUUGCGCAUAGUAGCCGUUAAAAUCGGCGCGCUCGAUCAUGCGCACCAGGCAGCGGCCGUCGGCGUCGCAUGCAAACAGCGGCGCGAGCCUAUUGCGCACGACUUGGUCAACGGCUUCGCGCGUGGACACGGCCAUGGCCACACACAAGGCCGCAUCCUGCUCGGGGAUCGACGAUGCGCACCACGUGCGCGCAUCGAAAAGAUCAUCGUUGUCGGGUCGAUCGCGUCGGGAACCCAAGGCCACAGCGCAGGUGGCCGUCACCAGGCGGCCGGUGGCGAUCAAGUGUUUGAGCCCGCCGCCGUCGGUGUGCGUGCAAGGCGCACAGAGGCAAUGGACACGCUCCCUCCUGUCAACACGUCCAUGGCGCCAUGCGCGUACUAUGGCACGGGCCUCGACGACUUCAGGCGCGGCCAGGAUGUCGCGCCACAGGCGGCACGUGGCGCGCGCCGCAAAGCGCCACAGCGGGUCAAAGAGAGGUCGGCCCGACGAGUCGAGGCCGUUGAGCACAUGCGUCAUGACUUCGACUGGCAACCCAUAGAUCGGGGCGCAUAUCUCGUGCAUCUCGCCAUAUGCAAGGCCUUGUGCGGUCAAACCCUCUUGAUGCUGCGUCGCCUCGACGCAUGGGCGACCCUUGUCGUUGUCGCAAAAAAAGAGACUGAU
rnacentral:lncRNA from 1 species